rnacentral:rRNA from 1 species
AUUGAACGCUGGCGGCAGGCCUAACACAUGCAAGUCGAACGAGCGGGGGCCGGGUGAGUAAUGUAUCGGGAAUGCCCGAGAGAGGGGGAUAAAUAAUGGAAACGGUAGCUAAUACCGCAUACCAUCUGAGCAACCAUAUGGGAUUAGCUAGUAGGUGAGGGAGUGGCUCACCUCGGCGACGAUCCCUAGCUGGUCUGAUAGGAUGAGCAGCCACACUGGGACUGAGACACGGCCCAGACUCCUACGGAGGCAGCAGUGGGGAAUAUUGCACAAUGGGCGCAAGCCUGCUGCAGCCAUGCCGCGGGUGUGAAGAGGGCCCUAGGGUUGUAAAGUACUUUCAGUCGGGAGGCGUUACCGACAGAAGAAGCACCGGCUAACUCCGUGCCAGCAGCCGCGGUAAUUC